rnacentral:rRNA from 2 species
GACACGACUCUCGGCAAUGGAUAUCUCGGCUCUCGCAUCGAUGAAGAGCGCAGCGAAAUGCGAUAUGUGGUGCGAAUUGCAGAAUCCCGCGAACCAUCGAGUCUUUGAACGCAAGUUGCGCCCGAGGCCAACCGGCUAAGGGCACGUCCGCCUGGGCGUCAAGC